ACCCGUCACCAGAGCUGCGGCAUCAAGAAGUGCGAGGGCGCUGUCUGCGUGACCUGCAAUGGGGAGGAGUACCGCGGCACCGUGGACCGCACCGAGUCAGGGACAGAGUGCCAGCGCUGGGACCUGCAGCACCCUCACAAGCACCCCUACCACCCCGACAAGUACCCCGACAAGGGGCUGGACGACAACUACUGCCGCAACCCCGACAGCUCUGAGCGGCCCUGGUGCUACACCACCGACCCUGGGC